GUCAGAACCCAGCAGAUGCUGGCGCGGCUCGGCAGCCUCCAAGAGUAUGAGCAAAGCGGACCGCUGUUCUUUAAGGGUGAGGCAGCAUCUCGUGCGGGCAGCUCCAGAUGGACUAAGGCCCGCUCAGGGCCUCCUGUACUUCCCCGCACCGCCAGGCAGAGCAGGCGUGAGACAUUCCAUCUGCAGAGAGCAAGAGAAAAGGAACAUCCUCUCCAUCACGAGCCAGAACCUUCUGCCUCUGUGACCCGCAGUUAG
rnacentral:lncRNA from 1 species